CGUAUUUAGUGCCUUAUGUGCUUUUGUACCUCCAUUCCCAUUUCAACUUCCAUCCCCUUUUUGCUAUGUUCCACAAAGUAAAACCUCUCCAUUGUAUACAUUCUAUAAGACAUACCCUCCCCUUUAGACAAUUGAUUUGUUCCUUCUCCUUUUUUUGUUAUUAUAUUACUCCAGCAAAUGUAGUCAGUAAAGUUACCUCUAUUUCUCGGACGGAAUAUAGUUACUGAAAGCACACAUGUGCAUAUCUAAUUUGUAGCAUUUCAUAAUAAACAAGAACAUAGUACUAAAUUCUCAACAAAAGUGUAUUAAGACUGUUUUUCUAUAACAUCUACCUUGAAACAUUUAGCCUUCAAGGAUAAACACCAUCGAUGACCUGCACCAGUCAAACAAAUUGAAACAAUGAAACAAAACAGUGCCAAACUAUUCAGUUUCAGAUGACAAAGGAAAUGCAAGAUUACUCUAACAAAUUACUAAUUAGAUCUUUGAUGGCUAAAAAAUUCAAAGAAAAACUGAAGAAUAGACAUAUCCCCUUCCUUGUAUUUCUAGGUCAUGAAGUAGAAUUUCUGGUUGGUCAAAGUUUGGCGCGAUUUUUCCAAUUGAACUCCUUAGUGGGGGAGAUUGAAGGGUAAUUCUCGGGGGUAGUCUUGACUUUUUGCUACGCACGAUAAAGUCGUGCCCGUUGCUUUUAAGGCUUUUUGUUUCGGUGGGUAGAUCGAUAUCUGAUAAUUUACAUUUAUAUACGUAUGAAUUGUUCAUUUUUUUCAGAACCAAACAACACAAGUCAUCCAUUACAUAAAAUACCUAUUACAAAGGCUAGUCUGAGCAAGAUCAUGGGCUACGUCUUGCUGGUGGCCUUGAUUACACAAACAAACUCAAAAGCUAAGGCUAAUAGCAUUCAAUCUAAUAUGAUGUUAUGCAGCAAAAUAAACAUUUUGCAAAGCAAGGACCACUUCAGUGCAACAUGUGAGAAUAUUGAUGCAUAUAAGACCUUUGCUCUUAACCCAUCUCAAAAGGCUGAAGAGAGGUCACACUUCCAUAAUUGCUUAUUCAAGAGAGGUCACGCACCGAUACUUGAAUAAGCAUGGUGUCUGGUGGGAACAUUGCUUAUUCAAGAGAGGUCACGCACCGAUACUUGAAUAAGCAUGGUUUCUGGUGGGUCGUACUCUUAAGCAAAUUCGGUUAAAUCAAUUUGUUAGGAGCCAUGGUAACAGAUUCGGUUUAUCAAUUCUAAAUGCUACCCAAUUUCAUAUGCAAAACGAUUUCAUGCAUAGGGGCAGUGGCCUACAAUGAAGCAUAGCCCCGAGAGUCUACAUAAAUUAAAAUCAAUGACAAAGAAUAAGUCUCUCAAAUAGGUGAUCAAACAAACACAUGGUCAGAAAAGAAAAACUAUUCAGCACACCAUAUCAACCAUUCAUUGUUCCAUAGAUCAUUUCAUAGAAAACUCACCAAAAUGUUGAACCAAAAUAAAGUAGAAUCAAUGAGGCAAUGAUCUCCAAUCAUUCUCUAGCAGUCAUAAUAGAAACUCUAGACAUUAGUACGAAAAAAGAUAAAAUAAUC